GACGAAGGGGGCUAGCGUUGUUCGGAAUUACUGGGCGUAAAGCGUGUGUAGGUGGUUGUCAUAGUCAGGUGUGAAAGCCUUGAGCUCAACUCAAGAAAUGCACUUGAUACUGGGCAACUAGAGGACCGGAGAGGAGACUGGAAUUUACGGUGUAGCGGUGAAAUGCGUAGAUAUCGUAAGGAAGACCAGUGGCGAAGGCGGGUCUCUGGACAGUUCCUGACGCUGAGGCACGAAGGCCAGGGGAGCAAACGGG
rnacentral:rRNA from 1 species